rnacentral:rRNA from 1 species
UACGGGGGGAGCAAGCGUUGUUCGGAUUUACUGGGCGUAAAGGGCGCGUAGGCGGUCAGCACAAGUCAGUUGUGAAAUCUCCGGGCUUAACCCGGAAAGGUCAACCGAUACUGCGGGGCUAGAGUGCAGAAGGGGCAACUGGAAUUCUCGGUGUAGCGGUGAAAUGCGUAGAUAUCGAGAGGAACACCUGCGGCGAAGGCGGGUUGCUGGGCUGACACUAACGCUGAUGUGCGAAAGCUAGGGGAGCGAACGGG